UACGGAGGGUGCGAGCGUUAAUCGGAAUUACUGGGCGUAAAGGGCGCGUAGGUGGUUUGAUAAGUCGGAUGUGAAAGCCCCGGGCUUAACCUGGGAAUUGCAUUCGAUACUGUCAGGCUAGAGUAUGGGAGAGGGAAGCGGAAUUCCCGGUGUAGCGGUGAAAUGCGUAGAUAUCGGGAGGAACAUCAGUGGCGAAGGCGGCUUCCUGGACCAAUACUGACACUGAGGCGCGAAAGCGUGGGGAGCAAACAGG
rnacentral:rRNA from 1 species